GGGUAUGGGUCCCACUAUGUGGGAAACCCAUAUUUUCUGGCACAAAUGUUUUGCCUUCCUUUUUCUUUUGGUUUUGUCAAAAGCCAAUUUUUUUGGCUUAUUAACGGGUGUUGGGCAGAAAUUUUUCUGCAGAGAGCUAAAAGAAAAAAUAGAGAGAAAGAGAAUAGAAAAAAAAUCAGAUUUUCAAGCUUGGUGCAGCAGUGAUCAACUCUUCGAUCGAAGGUCCAUCCGUGGUUCGAUUGAGCUGAUUUUUGGACAGCAGCUAGGUGAUAAGGUGUUCUUGACUUUGUACGGUCGGAUUUUUCAUCCGAGUCUUGUAGCGUCGGAAAUACCCAUUUUUCAGCAGCUACGUUUUUGGUGAUGUUCUCUCAUUUUUCUCUCUUUUGCUAAAGAUUACAUGUUGUUAGCCUUGUCGGAGUUGAAUGCUUGUUGUAGGCUUGAUAUUGUGAUCUUGUAGUUGAACAUUUGAUGAUAGUGGAGCUCUUUAUCGGACUCUAAAGUCCCGUGGUUUUUACCCUUAAUUUAGAGGGGUUUUCCACGUAAAAAUAUUGGUGUCUCUAUUUAUUUUUGUUGUGGUUGCAUUAGUUGAUUUGUGGUUGAUUAAGGUUGCUAGAGAACAUAUCUUGUGCUAUUGUGCUUGCCAUAAUUUUUUACAGGAGUUAUAAGGAGAGAAAGAACACCGGUUGUGCUUUCGCUUUGUUUCGGUUGUUCGGUUUCUUCCCAACAAACUGGUACCAGAGCUUGGUUAUUGUGUCAGAUAAUUAUGGAAAUUAAUACGAGCAAGAUGAUUAUGUUGAAUGGCACAAAUUAUCAACUUUGGCGGAAUAAAAUGAAGGACUUGUUGUUUGUGAAGGCUUUGCAUCUUCCGGUCUUUACUACUCAAAAACCCGAUUCGAAAAGUGAUGAAGAAUGGGAAUUUGAGCAUCAACAAGUGUGUGGCUUUAUUCGGCAAUUUGUUGAAGAAAAUGUUUACAAUCACAUUGAUCAGGAGACACAUGCUCGAACAUUGUGGGAGAAGCUUGAAAGCUUGUAUGCUUCGAGGUCGGGCAAUAACAAGUUAUUUUUGCUGAAGAAAAUGAUGGCGCUGAAAUAUAAAGAAGGAAUGUCUAUAGCUGACCAUGUUAGUGAAUUUCAGAGUAUGAUGAAUCAGUUGCUUGGUAUGGGUGUCAAAUUUGAUGACGAGAUUUUAGGACUUUGGUUGCUUGCUACUCUACCAGACUCUUGGGAGACCUUUCGAGUCUCACUCAUUAAUUCUGCCCCACAGGGUAUUAUUACUUUGGAUUUGGCUAAGAGUGGUGUGUUGAAUGAAGAGGUUAGAAGAAGAUCUCAGGGUUCUACAUCACAGUCCGAGGUGUUGGUUAUCGAGAACAGGGGGAGAAACAGAGACAAAGAUGGAAAGGGUAGAGAUAAAAGCCGAAGCAAGUCAAGAUCGAGAUACAAGAAUCUUGAGUGUCAUCAUUGUGGUAAGAAAGGUCAUAUCAAGAAAUAUUGCUUCAAGUGGAAGAAAGAGAACAAAGGUGGUGGUGAUAAACACGAUCGGAAUGACGAUGAAAAAUUCGAGCGUGUUGCUACUGUUACUCGUGAAGAUCUGUUAGUUAUUUGUGAUGAGAAUUUGGUCAACCUAGCAUGCGACGAGACUAGUUGGGUGAUUGAUACUGGUGCAUCACUUCAUGUCACGUCGAGGAAGGAAUUCUUCACAUCUUAUACUCCUGGUGAUUUUGGGGUAUUGAAGAUGGGUAAUGAUGGUUUGGUUUCGGUUAUUGGUAUGGGAGAUGUUAGCUUGGUAAGUAACAAUGGAACAAAGUUAACUCUCAAGGAUGUCAGACAUGCACCGGAUGUCCGUUUGAAUUUGAUUUCUGCAGGAAAACUUGAUGAUGAGGGAUUCUGUAACACCUUCAGUGAAGGGCAGUGGAAGCUGACUAAAGGCUCCUUGGUUGUGGCUCGAGGAAAGAAGAGCUCAAAUUUGUACUUGAUGCAAGCUUUGACUUCUCGAGAGACGGUGAAUGUGACACUGAAUGACAACUCAACUGAGUUGUGGCAUAAACGACUCAGUCACAUGAGUGAGAAGGGGCUUAGCUGUUUAGCGAAGAAGAAUCAACUUUCGGGUUUAAAGAAUGCUACACUGAAGAAUUGUGCUCAUUGUCUAGCAGGAAAGCAGAAAAGAGUUUCAUUUAGAAGCCAUCCUCCUCAUAGGAAAUCAGAGUUGCUAGAGUUGGUCCAUUCAGAUGUUUGUGGUCCGAUAAAAGUAAGAUCACAUGGUGGUGCACUUUACUUUGUGACUUUCAUUGAUGAUUGUUCAAGAAAGCUAUGGGUUUACACUUUAAAGUCUAAAAAUCAAGUCUUUGAGGUGUUUAAACAGUUUCAAGCAUCAGUUGAAAGGGAAACUGGGAAGAAGUUGAAGUGCAUUCGUACUGAUAAUGGUGGCGAGUACACAGGGUCGUUUCAUGAGUAUUGUCUGCGACAGGGAAUCAGACAUCAGAGAACACCACCAAAGACUCCACAGUUAAAUGGGUUAGCUGAAAGAAUGAACCGAACAUUGAUUGAGAGAGUCAGAUGUUUGUUGUCAGAUGCAAAGUUACCAAGAUCGUUUUGGGCUGAAGCUUUGAAUACAGUGACACAUGUGAUAAAUCUGUCUCCUAGUGUUCCUUUGAAAGGUGAUGUGCCAGAUAGAGUUUGGUUUGGUAAAGACGUGUCAUAUGAUCACCUACGUGUGUUCGGUUGUAAAGCAUUUGUUCAUGUUCCAAAGGAUGAAAGAUCCAAGUUGGAUGCCAAGGCUCGACAAUGCAUUUUUAUUGGUUAUGGUCUAGAUGGUGAGUUUGGUUAUAGACUCUAUGAUCCAGUUCAGAAGAAACUCGUGAGAAGCAGAGAUGUUGUCUUCAUUGAGGAUCAGACCAUUGAUGACAUUGAUAAAACGGAGAAAGUGGAUUCACAAGGUAGUGGUGACUUGAUCGAUGUGAAUCCGGUUCCCUUAGACUCUUCACCAGAUCCUAUCCAGGAUGAUGUGCAUGGUGAUGUUAGUGGUGACCAUCAGACUAUAGGUGACUUUGAUACUCCCAUGGAUGAUGUUGUGAAUGAUCAACAACAAGCACCUAUAGCUCCACCAGCAGUUCCACUUCGAAGGUCUUCCAGAGAUCGACGAUCUUCUGUCAGGUAUUCUCCUGAUGAAUAUGUUCUUUUGACUGACGGGGGAGAACCUGAAUGUUAUGAAGAGGCUAUGGAGAGUGAAUGCAAAGAUCAGUGGGUUGAAGCGAUGAAAGGCGAACUUCAAUCAUUGCAUGAGAACCAUACUUUUGAAUUGGUGAAACUGCCUAAGGGCAAAAGAGCUUUGAAGAAUCGGUGGGUUUACAGGUUGAAGCAAGAAGAGAAGUCUUCAUCUCCACGAUACAAAGCUAGAUUGGUCGUCAAGGGUUAUACUCAGAAAAAGGGGGUUGAUUUUGAAGAAAUAUUUUCUCCGGUUGUGAAGAUGUCCUCUAUCAGAACUAUACUGAGUUUGGCAGCUUGUUAUGACCUAGAGGUUGAACAAAUGGAUGUGAAAACUGCUUUUCUUCAUGGUGACUUGGAAGAAGAGCUUUACAUGGAGCAGCCAGAGGGUUUUGUUGCACAAGGGAAAGAGGACUAUGUGUGCAGAUUGAAGAAGAGCUUGUAUGGUUUGAAGCAAGCUCCAAGGCAAUGGUACAAGAAGUUUGAGUCUGUUAUGGGGGAGCAAGGCUACAAGAAGACUACUUCUGAUCAUUGUGUGUUUGUUAAGAGAUUCUCUGGUGAUGAUUUUAUUAUUCUUUUGCUCUAUGUUGAUGAUAUGCUUAUUGUUGGUCAGAAUGCUUCUAGAAUUGAGAAGUUGAAACAAGAGUUGAGUAAAUCCUUUGCAAUGAAGGAUUUGGGGCCAGCAAAGCAAAUUCUUGGCAUAAGACUGACACGUGAUAGAAAGGCCAAGAAAUUAUGGUUAUCACAAGAGAGGUACAUUGAGAAAGUACUUCAAAGGUUUAGUAUGGACAAAGCUAAAGCGGUGAAUACUCCCUUUGCUAUGCACUUUAGAUUGAGUGUUAAGCAUAGUCCUUCCACAGAAAAGGAGAAGGAAGAGAUGCAGAAAAUUCCUUACUCUUCAGCCGUGGGUAGUUUGAUGUACGCAAUGGUUUGCACGAGACCAGACUUGGCUUAUGCCGUUGGUACAGUUAGUCGGUUUCUUUCUAAUCCAGGCAGAGAGCAUUGGAAUGCAGUGAAGUGGAUUAUGAGAUAUCUUCGUGGCACUUCCAACAUGAAACUUUGUUUCGGCAAUGAGAAACCUGUUCUUGUUGGGUAUACAGAUUCAGACAUGGCCGGAGACAUUGACUCGAGGAGAUCUACUUCAGGUUACUUAAUCACUUAUGCAGGGGGAGCUGUGGCAUGGCAAUCGAGACUGCAAAAGUGUGUUGCAUUGUCCACCACCGAAUCAGAGUUCAUUGCAGCAACCGAAGCGUGUAAGGAGAUGCUUUGGAUGAAGAAGUUUGUGCAUGAGCUUGGUUUUACUCAGGAGAAGUAUGUCCUGUACUGUGAUAGCCAGAGUGCUAUUCAUCUUGGUAAGAACUCAACUUUUCAUGCUAGAUCUAAGCAUAUUGAUGUGAGGUACCAUUGGAUACGAGAUGUUCUUGAAGCUAAGCUGUUAGAGCUUGAGAAGAUACACACUAAUGAUAAUGGUGCUGAUAUGUUGACGAAGGCCUUACCAAGAGGAAAAUUUGAAGCAUGUUGUUUGACCUCCGGUAUGGAGGCAUUCCCCACAUAGUUGGAGGGGGAGAUUUGUUGGGUAUGGGUCCCACUAUGUGGGAAACCCAUAUUUUCUGGCACAAAUGUUUUGCCUUCCUUUUUCUUUUGGUUUUGUCAAAAGCCAAUUUUUUUGGCUUAUUAACGGGUGUUGGGCAGAAAUUUUUCUGCAGAGAGCUAAAAGAAAAAAUAGAGAGAAAGAGAAUAGAAAAAAAAUCAGAUUUUCAAGCUUGGUGCAGCAGUGAUCAACUCUUCGAUCGAAGGUCCAUCCGUGGUUCGAUUGAGCUGAUUUUUGGACAGCAGCUAGGUGAUAAGGUGUUCUUGACUUUGUACGGUCGGAUUUUUCAUCCGAGUCUUGUAGCGUCGGAAAUACCCAUUUUUCAGCAGCUACGUUUUUGGUGAUGUUCUCUCAUUUUUCUCUCUUUUGCUAAAGAUUACAUGUUGUUAGCCUUGUCGGAGUUGAAUGCUUG
rnacentral:lncRNA from 1 species